rnacentral:misc_RNA from 1 species
AUGGAAGGAAAGCUCUGCUCUU